rnacentral:rRNA from 1 species
AUUGAACGCUGGCGGCAUGCCUUACACAUGCAAGUCGAACGGCAGCACGGGUGCUUGCACCUGGUGGCGAGUGGCGAACGGGUGAGUAAUACAUCGGAACGUACCUUAUCGUGGGGGAUAACGCAGCGAAAGCUGUGCUAAUACCGCAUACGCCCUGAGGGGGAAAGCGGGGGAUCGAAAGACCUCGCGCGAUUGGAGCGGCCGAUGCCUGAUUAGCUUGUUGGUGGGGUAAAAGCCCACCAAGGCGACGAUCAGUAGCUGGUCUGAGAGGACGAUCAGCCACACUGGGACGAGGACACGGCCCAGACUCCUACGGGAGGCAGCAGUGGGGAACUUUGGACAAUGGGGGCAACCCUGAUCCAGCAAUGCCGCGUGAGUGAAGAAGGCCUUCGGGUUGUAAAGCUCUUUUGUCAGGGAAGAAACACCGGCUCUAACACAGUCCGGGAAUGACGGUACCUGAAGAGUAAGCACCGGCUAACUACGUGCCAGCAGCCGCGGUAA